rnacentral:rRNA from 1 species
CCUACGGGAGGCAGCAGUAAGGAAUAUUGGUCAAUGGACGAAAGUCUGAACCAGCCAUGCCGCGUGAAGGAUUAAGGCCCUCUGGGUUGUAAACUUCUUUUAUCUGGGACGAAAAAAGGGUAUUCUUACUCACUUGACGGUACCAGAGGAAUAAGCACCGGCUAACUCCGUGCCAGCAGCCGCGGUAAUACGGAGGGUGCAAGCGUUAUCCGGAUUUACUGGGUCUAAAGGGUGCGUAGGUGGGCUUGUAAGUCAGUGGUGAAAUCUCCGGGCUUAACCCGGAAACUGCCAUUGAUACUAUGGGUCUUGAAUUAUCUGGAGGUAAGCGGAAUAUGUCAUGUAGCGGUGAAAUGCUUAGAUAUGACAUAGAACACCAAUUGCGAAGGCAGCUUACUACGGAUAUAUUGACACUGAGGCACGAAAGCGUGGGGAUACAAACAGGAUUAGAUACCCUGGUAGUCCACGCCCUAAACGAUGGAUACUCGACAUCAGCGAUACACUGUUGGUGUCUGAGCGAAAGCAUUAAGUAUCCCACCUGGGAAGUACGAUCGCAAGUAUUAGAAACUACGAAAGGUUAAGUUAGACGGCGNGAGACGNGACGACGGACGACGACGAGGGAGGAGG